UUUGUUUUGUACGUUAGUUCGUUCGUCCGUCCUUAACCGACAUGCUAAGGCAACGAAAAGCAAGCUUCAUAUUUGUCUACAGCUACAGGCAUGUACAUAUUCGCAUGCGCCCAUCUGUAAAUGUGUGUGACUGUAGUGGAAAGUUUCAGUAGUCGUGGAGAAGGUGGUGUUACAAAAGUAGUUGAGAAUAACAGAAUACGCGUUCUCAGGAACUUAAAACCUUAAGACAGAUGUAUUUCACCACAAAAUGAGGACAGGAUAAAAAAAAUGGACAGGAACAUCAACGGAGAUUAGAGCGGGAAAAAUAAAGGUCUUUGAAUCCAAACAAACGCUUGACACAUAUUAAGCACAUAAUAAACUAUUAACGUAUUAUGAAUAGAAACAAUAUACCCAUACCGAAGACUGGAUAAGCGAUGAAAUAAAUACUAAGUGAGGUUAGGUUACUGAACCGACUUGGAUCAGCGGGAUUCAGAUCAUAAAAUUACACGAAAUACAUACUUAAAUAAUUA